CUUGAAAUGAACAAAGCAAUGGAAAAUUAGGAGUAGGGAAAUAAUUUGUGUACUGACACAAAGGGAUGAGAUGAACUUAAUAGGGCCCUACAAUCUCCUGUUUCUCUGAUUUGCCCCUUUAUAUCAUGUUGAUUGCUUCCUAUGCACCAAAUAUUCUUUUCUUGUUGCCUUUCACAUCUGAUUAUGGAUCUUUUGGAUCUUUUUCCUAUAAGCUCUGAAUGGUAAUAGUUAAAGACCUGGAUUGUGGAAAAUCUGGGGAUAUGCACUAAUGUUACCUGGAGUUGUGGAACCUAGGAUUCUCAGAGAAUCAGGCCCCACUAACCUUCCCAGUAGAUAAAGUGCACUUGUAAGAGCAGUAUUAGUUAAUCUGUGGUUUGUCAGCUGCAAAAGUAUAGUUCUGCCAUUUGACUGCUAUAGCAAAGGAAGCAUGAAACCAAGAAGAAAGCUGUACAUUAACAUGUUCAACACAAGUUUUAUUCCAUGUGUUAGUAAAUUUAAAGAGCCUAAGAUGAGGUUAAUUAGUUUUGAUCUCUAGUAUGGCUAUGAUGGUAGGGUGGGAGGCAGAGCCAUAAUCAGAAAAUGAUACGAUUCAUAGAUUGCAUCUGUUUUCAUCAGUCUCUAAGUACUUGCCCAGAGUGUGCUUCCCCUACAAUAUAACCUGGCUCUGCCAAGGGAUAUUGGAGUCAUUACAAGGGCCUCACAACACAAGAAACCACUGAAGAGCUGUGUUAUCCAGUUGCAGCCAUAGGCAGGUAAGUAACUACAAUACCAUUCCACAGACUGGAACUUGGCCAGCACAUGGGAGCUAACCCACUGAUAUUGUAAUGUGGGUUAUCAGUAGAACUUGCAUUCAGGACUCAGCUGAGGAAUGGACUCCUCCCAGCUGAGCCAAAGCCCAUUAACUUAGUAGCAAAAGUUGGCUUUUCCUAUUAAACCGAGCAGUCAGUAGCAAGGAGUGUUGCAUACAUGUUCUAAGUUAGACAACAGGUCUCUUCUUGUGAAAAGUGAUGUGCUAUCUUUAACGACCAGAAAUGGCCAGGGUCUCUCAGAGUCCCCAUCUGAUUAUGGAGUUCAUAGCUUCAGUAGCAUGGUGUCGCAUCAAGAAGGUUGCCGUUUGAAUCAUCAACAUCAGUAUCCCUAGAAGUCUCGCAUCUCAGCACAGAUUCGGCUCACCCCUGCUUAGCUAAUGGGGUCCUGAGAGGUCACAGCCCAGAGGAGUAGGGCUGCAUAAAUUUGAAUACGCUAUUUUUGUUAGCAUGGAAGCUAUACAGGAUUUUGUUGGUAUCUGGGCAACUGUUUCUAAAGCAUCAAAUCCCAAGUGGGAGGCAGGAAAGGGUUCUUUUGACUCCAGAACAAAGGGCUUCCAAGUAUACUUACAGCUCAGAAUUCAAGAUUUCUUACAGCUGCUGUGCUGUGCUGCUUCUGUCCGUCGUGCACUCUGCAAACACUGUGAAAAGAUAAGCGAAGGCAGCAUCCAAAGUAACAGCGGGGACUCAUCCAAAAACAAUGCAACCCCGGAGCUUCCUCUUUAGAAAGGCACAGUAGAGGAGUAAGCAGAGCAUUGCCAUUUGGGGCUGAAUAAUGGGCAGAGGUUUGUGGAGAGCUGGUACAUCUUCCCGUCUGCUGGAUCCAGCUAGCUGCAUUUCCCCCCUUGGUUCUGAGAACUCUCAGUUCACAGUUGCAUUUCAAGAAGGGAAAAAAUUAAUGGGACCAGGGACACCAUUUCCUGUAGUAAUGCAUUGAAAGUGAAAAGAUAACAAGAGCUAUGCAAAGUCAUGAUGGCUGAGCGUAGUAAGAGCUAAGACCUUUUCAGUUGGGAAGCACAACUCUGACUUUGUUACUGUGCAGUCUGGUUGCAAGGCCCAAUUAUUAAAGGUCCAUACAAUGGAUGAGCUGUGCACAAAGUUCCUGCUGAUCCCAGACAGGUAUGAUGAGAUGCAUUAUUUGCACACACAUAGUGAGUCAGAGCAGCUACUUCAUAGUCUGGCUGGUACGGAGCAAGAACCUGGAUGAAUUGGGUACUAGCCUGUGCCAUGAUGAUUGCCUCAAUAUCCCAGGUGUGUUGGCCAAGAUAGAGACUUCCAGAGCUAAGAACAACCAGAUACUGAAUAACGUAAGUCAAAGGGUGGAGGCUUUGAAGCUGAUGACUCUAACAAUUCAUAUCCUUUGCAGAUGGGGCACAGAGGGAUGUCACAUGUUCAGCAGAGCCCUGCACAAUUACCAGUUUUGCACUUACAAAUACAGAGAUGUGGAUUCAACAAGGUCUGCAGGUCACAUGGCCCACCCAGUCUAUGGAGCUGUAGCCAUACAGCCAAGCUGGAGACUGAUAACAGAUGGUUCUUGAAGAAAAGGCACCAAAGACACUAAUCCUCAGCAGACAUCAUUCUUUUUGUAACUGCUGAGUCUUUCUUCAUGGAUCCUGUGGCUUCUUCCUCAGAAGACUGUUGAAGGAAUGCCUUAUAGAGGGUGAAUUUUCAUCUGUUUCUUGGGUACCAUUUCAAAUGUGGAUGGCAGUAAGCAUUAGAAAUGGUCCCAAAGUCCAAGGCCAACAUCACGAAAGAAUUUCCUGCAGUAUUUGACUCCCUUGUUUGUGGGCAUCUCACUCUGAUACUGAGUCUCAUUCCAGUGCCCUGCUGCUACUCUCCCUUACAACACUCACCAUGAGGCUCUGUUAGUGGAAAGAUUUACAUAAGAGGAAUGAAGGUGCAAUCUGGCUCCACUGGAGUCAGUGACAAAACGCCUGUUGACUUCAGUGGGAUGAUGACUGGACCCCUAAAGUCCAUGACAAGGCCUGGGACCAAGAUAUGACUCUGGCAGUAAUUGUAGCCAUACCUCAUUGUCCCCCAUAACGGGGGCGAUGAGGUGCCAUACAGGAUGCCUGUUCUGUCUGAAAAUCACACCAGUUCAAUUUAAUGUGGAACCUUUGGUUAAAUGCCACGUAGUAGAAGAUGUGAAUUGCUGACUUUGAUGUUCUCUCUGGCUAUAAAGCUGAUUUUGGGAGAUGAUGAAAAGAAACUGUACUGAGUAGUUCUCCGAUGGAGUGUGGCUUGACUUGGUCUAAUUUUUUUUCUUAACUUUUUGGUUGAUGAUCAUCAGUUUAUAAGCAGAGUGUGUCUGUGCUGCUUCUCUCCUGUCCUCAUACCUGACAAUAAGUGCAGAAGAUGCAGUUAACUAGGGGCACAGGAUAGGUUGGAGUCCCUGGGCCUCUGAGUCCAGUCACUUGCUACUGCAGGCAGCCCUGACCUCAACUCUCUCCUCUGGUGUGUUGCUGCAAGGGGGCAAAAUUUCAUUGCAGAUAAAUAUUCUAUAAUAUAUUUUACCCCUCCCAUGCCUUCUCAUACACAAAUUUCACCUGCCCAGAUAUGGGAACAAAAAAGAAAUUCCUGCUGCAACCAAUCCAUGUGUCUUUUAAUCAACACCCUGGUACAUGUUAAACGCCUAGAAAUAUGUUCUUUUUCUGAAUCCACAAGCCUUUAUUCAAAAGUAAAGUUGUCAAAUUUCAUCCCUAUCCAAUAUUCAUAUCCCCAGUUUGGCUUAGUGGGUAUGAUUGUGUUGCUGAUGUUUGAAAUAAAGUAUCUGAAGAAUUA